rnacentral:sRNA from 2 species
GCGCCUGCAAAAUCAGGCGUCGGGAUUAGCCUCCUGAAGAUCCUCACUGACGAUACAAUAUUU